rnacentral:rRNA from 1 species
GACGAACGCUGGCGGCGUGCUUAACACAUGCAAGUCGAACGGUGAAGCGCCUUCCUUUUUGGUGGGUUUGUAGGAGUGGCGAACGGGUGAGUAACACGUGAGUAACCUGCCCCCUUCUUCUGGAUAACCGCAUGAAAGUGUGGCUAAUACGUGAUAUUCUGGGUCUGUCGCAUGAUGGGUCUGGGAAAGAUAUUGUUUCGGUUGUGGAUGGGCUCGCGGCCUAUCAGCUUGUUGGUGGGGUGAUGGCCUACCAAGGCGGUGACGGGUAGCCGGCCUGAGAGGGUGGACCGUAACACGAGGAAGGAGACACGGACAAGCCUACUGCGGGAGGCAGCAGUGGGGAAUAUUGCACGAUGGGAAGAAGGCUGAUGCAGCGACGCCGGGUGAGGGAUGGAGGUCUUCGGGUUGUAAACCUCUUUCGGCAGUGAAGCAGGCCUGCCUCGUUUGUGGGUGGGUUGACGGUAGCUGGAUAAGAAGCGCCGGCUAACUACGUG